AGCACAAACCUGUAGUCCUAGCUACUCAGGAGGAUCACUUGAGACCAGGAAGUCAAGGCUGCAUUGAGCCAUGACUGCAGCACUGCACUCCAGCACAGGCAAGAGCAAGACCCUUUCUCAAAAAGAAAAGACCUCCCCCUCACAGAGCCCAGAGCUGCUGAUUCUGGCUGAGGGCAAGGAAAAUACAAAAAAUGUUCAUCGAAAAAGUAAAACCAUGGAUAGCAACUAUAACUUCAAGAUCAAUGACAGAAACAACAACUGCAGUAGUCUGGCAGGUUUUCUGUUUUUGCUUUUUUGAGACGGAAUCUCACUCUGUUGCCCAGGCAGGAGUUGCAGGGGCUCACCCCUGUAAUCCCAGCACUUUGGGAGGCCAACGUGGGUGGAUCACCUGAUGUGAGGAGUUCGAGACCAGCCUACCCAACAUGGCGAAACCCUGUCACUACUAAAAAUACAAAAAAUUAGCCAGGCAUGGUGGCAGGUGCCUGUAAUCCCAGCUACUCGGGAAGAUGAGGCAGGAGAAUUGCUUGAACCUGGGAGGCAGAGGUUGCAGUGAGCCAAGAUCACGCCACUGCACUCCACCCUGGGCGACAAGAGCAAAACUCCGUCUCAAAACAAAACAAAACAAAAAAUUAGCCAGGCAUGGUGGCGAAUGCCUGUAAUCCCAGCUACUCAGUAGGCUGAGGCAAAAGAAUCACUUGAACCCGGGAGGCAGAGGUUGUGGUGAGCCAAGGUCACACCACUGCACUCCAGACAGCAAUAAGAGUGAAACUCCGUCUCAAAAAAAAACAAACAAACAAAACAAACAAACAAACAAACAAAAAACCUGCUGGUAGAUUCUAGGAGCUGAGCACAGCCUCUAGCAACAGCCAGCAACAAGUCCUAUAACUGCAAGGAAAUGAAUUUUGCCUAUUGACUGAGUGUGGAAAUACAUUCUGUUAUAGGCAGAGGUUGGAGCAAGCCGAGGUUGCACCACCGCACUCUAGCCAGAGCAACAGAGCAAGACUCUAUCACCAAAAAAAAAUAAAUAAAAAUAAAUAAUAAUAAAAUUCUACUGUAGGUUUCAGCUAAGGCAAUUAAACAAGACACAGCAUGCUUAUCAAAUUUGUAAAUGGACUAUAGAAUUUGAUGACUGAUAGAACUGGAUUCAAAAUUACUGCCACAGGCUGGAGUGAUACACUGAAUAAAUAGGAUAUUUAUUUUUAAAAAAGAAAUAGAAUAUACAACACAAGAAUUAAACAACACUCAUAUAAAAUGUCUCACACAUAAAAUAUAAACCAAAACACUACACUUCUGGCCAGCCACAGUAGUAGCUCACGGCUGCAAUCCCAGCACUUUGGGAGGCCAAGGUGGGCCAAUCACUUGAUGCCAGGUGUUCAAGACCAGCCUGGCCAACAUGAUGAUACCGCAUCUCUACAAAAAAAUACCAAAAUUAGCCAGGCGUGGUGGUGCAUGCCUGUAAUCCCAUCUACUUGGGAGGCUGAGGCAUGAGAAUCACUUGAACCCAGGAGGCGGAGGGUGCAGUGUAUUCAGAUGGCACCACUGCACUCCAGCCUGGGCAACAGAGCAAGAAUCUGUCUCAAAAAGUCGGGGGCG
rnacentral:lncRNA from 1 species